AAAAAUAUAUAAAACAGUGUAUCCCAGAACUUAGCGUAGAAUCGCAUCUGCAACGCUCUGGAAUACAUGCAGAGACACAGUCCGGCGGCCAUAUUGACCUAGUUUGUUUUGACGAGUAAACAAACCAGCACGUGGCUUUUGACACGAUCUUACCUUGAAGAUGGCAACAGAUUAGCAGCCAAAAUAUCGUGUCAAGAAAUACCUAUAGCUGAUUAAUUUCUGGUUAAAAUUAUGGAGAGACCUGAGAAAGGUGAAUGUGGUGGCAAAAGCCGUGAAUAAUUUAAACCUGGAUCUUCUUGUUAGAAAGGCAGAAAGUCACUUUGAGGAUGAGGAAAUCCUAAUCAUGAACAAAGGUUGUUUUUCUCUCUCAAGGAUUUGUUCAGAUAUUGAAUAUGGCCUUGUAGUAACUUCGUCACCAAACAGCACUAAGAAAAGAAAGUUAACAGCCUGGACUUGAGAACUACACGUGUACAACACGAGCAUCGUUCGUGAACAUUGACUGUAAAAAGGACGUACCCAUAAGUCAAACGAACUAGCUGAAAUCCAAUAUUCAGCAAUAAAGCACACACCACCUUGUCAUCUUCGCUUUUCGCGGAUUGCAGUUUUUUGCUUAUCCACACAGAGUUUUUUGGAGCUUUCUGUUACGUACGACACACUGUGUCCUCUUUUUUUUAUAUACAUGUAUUACUGUAAAUUAUUAAUAAUAUGUAAGAGGGUCGACUAGCCUCCAUGUAAAGAAAGACAAAAUGACUGAUCAGUGGUUGCCAGAAUUACAUAAUUUGAGUUUGCAAUCAAUAUUACUGAUAUGACCUCGGGACUCGGCUAAAGUCAUGGUACUUUUCCGCUCUUCCCAUUCGCCCUCUGUUUACAAACAAGGUCACUAAUACUUAACGUACAAGAAUAUAAAUAGCUUUUGGCUUAAUUUUUAAAUACAUGAUUUACCAGUAAUAUACCACGCACUGAGUAACAACUAUAAGUAUGAAACUAAUGUUGCGGAUGGCAUUAUUCAACUGUAAGUGUGAAGACAACUCAGUAUAAUAAUUAGGCACAAAACUUUUUAAAAUAUUUGUUCCUGGCAAGUAAUUGAAGUAUACAUACGAUAAAAAUCUAAUCAUAAAUGUAAUGUUUGCGUUGAAAAUUAUGCAUAACAACUCCGUUCAGAACAGUGGUUUGUUUUGAAAGUACGAGACUAGCAGUUUAUAAGAAAACACACAUUCAUGGUGCUAAAAAGUACUUCUGUUUUUAGAUUUAAGUUUACAGAAAAAAACAAGACUUUGACUGCACCCCGAAACAAUUACACCAUAGAGUUUUAACACUGUAAACUGAAGUUACAUGCCCUUCUAUUUGAAUAUAUGUAUUCACAGACUAAACUUUAUCAGUCCAUGUUGAUGAAACUAUAUUCAUUUAGGAUUAUAAUACAACUUCAUGCAUAUAUAGAUAGAUAGACAGAUACGUCCUUAAUAUAACUUAUAUUACUCUGGUCUGUUUCAUUUUUUAUAU